CAGUCAGCAGCUGCCUGAGGAUCUGGGAGAGACCUAGCAGGCAGUGAGGACAGUGGAUGGCAAGGGGCCUCAGAGCUCUGUGACCUCAUAAUUUUCCUGUGGGACCACAAAGGUGGCUUCCACAGUGCAUAGUGGUUAUCAGCUGUGCCUCCCUCUUAGAGGUCCUCGGAGUCCAGAGUCCUCGAAGGGAAAUCUGACACAAAGAAGCAGCAGGUAAAUGAAGGAGAAAAGAAAAGAACAAAAUCCACCGGGAACCAGAGACUUCCAGGCUCCAAAGACAGGCAAUCUCCACCAGGAACAUAUGACCUAGGAGCAGGAGUGAAGGAUGGGAGUGAAGCAAGGAAGGAAAGAGAGUCGAUUACAGAGCUGUUUCGUUGAGCUGGUCACAGCUCCUGUGUCCAAUCUCGUGGGGCUGCCUGAGAUGUCUUGAAGUCAUAAGCCCAGAGAAAGAACAGAGGGGAUGCCUUUAUCCACUGGAUCCAUUUUUCCAAUGAUCAAAGGGCUGGAGUGCAGCUGAGGUCUGGCUUUAGCCAAGGAGAGCACCUUGAAACCUGGCAGAGAAUUACAGUGAACCAGAAGACUAAGUGAAGCAUGAACUGGCAUAAUAUGCUUUCCUGGCUGAAAACCAUGAAUGACCCAGAAUAGUUCAUAUCUUUGGAAGAUCCUUAUUUUCCUUGUAAAUGAAAGUCAU
rnacentral:lncRNA from 10 species